CUGGUAGAUUAUUCUUAUUGGAUGGUUCCAGGAAAUGAUUAAUGAGUUGGUACAAAUGUUAUUUUAAUUGAAAAUCACAGGAGAAUAGGAUACUAUAUGCCUAGGAGGAUCUAGCCAGCAUUGAAAGGGUUAUUCAGUUGACUUAACUGUUAACCAGGGUUUUAAUGCUGGGCUGUGUGAAGUUUGCUUUCUGUUCUGCGGAAUACCUCAUAAAUCGUGUAAGUCUUGACAGCUGGUGCUGUUAGCCAUUCCAUUGUAUUGCAUACUUGUGUUAUACUAAAUACUCACUGAUUAUUAUCAUGC